UCAUUCUUCCGUUCUGUUUCUUCAUCUACUCUCUGCUUAUUCUAAAUCAAGGAUUUCUUCAUCAGAAAUCGAGAGAUAAGCUAUAGGUUUUUCAGCAAUCAAGGUUAAUCGUGAUUAUUUAUCAGAGAUUGAAGAUUUAGUCGUGGUUUUGAUGGCAAGAAGAAAAAUACAUCAUUUUGCAGAUGAAAGGGUUCUUUCUGUGAUGGGUUUUAAUCCAAUUUCAUUGUUGAUUUAUGGUGCUAAUUAUCGAGAUUUGAGAGGAAUUAGAUGGCUGAAGUACUCAUGAGUGGGUUUAAUAUUCUCAUAAUGGUGUUGGUUUUGGUGGUUGUAGUGCAAAUCUUGGGGGUUUUGGUAUCUGAUAGCAAUAGACAGCAAUAACGUGUUAAGACCGAGAAACAUUGGUUAAGUUAAUGAUUUGUAUCAAGGGAUUAUCAUGGGUUUUACGUUCUCAGAUUGGUUUGGUUGAAUGGUGGUUGUAUGGGUAGUCUGCAGUCUCCAUGGACGUGUAUACAUGGAAGAAGAAUGAAUCUCAAAUGCAAUAUGGGGCUAAUGAAAAUGAUUGCAAGAGAGGGUGGUUGUGUGGAUAUUGCUUCAGAGGUUCAAAGAAAUGAUAGGACAUAAAGCUUCCGUGUAAGUACUGGAUGUUAACAUGAUUACGAGACAGAUUAUGCUUAUUGAAGGUGUUACAAGGCUUGUGAACAUAUGGGUGUUGAUGACAUAUGAGACAAUGGAGAUGGAUCUGUUUACAAGAGUGAAUGGUUCUUAAUGUAAAGUGUUGAACAACGAGGUAUUAGCUCCAUGAGCUCUGCAACUGAAGAAGAGUUAUGGAUACACAGGGAAGACGAACAGGUGAUGCUGCCAUUGUUGUAUGGUUGUGAAUUGAGAGGUGUUGUGGAAAUUAAUGGAAGAAGGUGUUCAAAACAAGUGAUGUUGUCAUUGCUAUAUGACUGUGAAUCGAGAGGCGUUGUGGCAAUUAGUGGAAGAAGGUGUUCAGAUGGACAGAAAAUGAGAUGGUCAAGGAGAAUGGAACGUGGUCGGUGGCAGAGUCUGAACUAUGAAAUUAGAGUAUGACCAAUCAUAGUCCUUUGGUUUUCUGUGGCUAGAUCUAUUACACGUGCACUCUAUAAACAAGAUCUUGGCCAUUCGCUUUGUAAUGAAAUCUUUGUCGUUGAUCUUAGAUGGCUAGUUUGAGGGACUAAAACGUCUUUUAAACUGGAAAAAUAUGAUUAGGUGGAAAAUAACGGUAGCUAACUUUCCAUCCACCAUUUUUGGUCAAAACUUUCCUAGAUUUGUAAGAAAUAAAAAAAAGUGGCCUAGUUUUGUAAACCAUAGAAAAACACAGGCCUAAAUAUGUAAAAAUCCAUUUAUAGUUC